rnacentral:sRNA from 1 species
CCGCUGUUUCCUUCGGCUUUCCUCCUCCUCCACCAUGUGGAGCCGACGUCAGGGCCGCCUCAGGCCCACGGUCUGCGGGGUGGAGGAGCUACGGCGCCGCCGGCGGGAGCGGGAGGCAGGUGUGGGCGGCCGAGGGAGCGCGGGGGUAUAUGGCGGUCGGAGAUAGGUUGAGACCCCAGGCUCGGAGCCGCGGGUUCUGGGUUCUGGUCGUUCUUCCCACGCUCAGCCGGCUCCUCUGCCCCCAGCACUGCGGAAGGCGCGGAGGGAGCAGCAGCUGGUCAGCAAGAGGCUGCUGAGAGACGACACCCCAGAGGAAGCUGGAGAGGGAUGUGUGGCUGCGAUCCUCGGGGAAACCGAGGUGCAGCAGUUCCUGCGGCAAGCCCAGCGGGGGACAGAGGAAAAGGAGAGAGAGGGGGCUCUGGUCAGCCUUCGUCGAGGCUUGCAACACCCUGAAACACAGCAAACCUUCAUCCGGCUGGAGGGCAGCAUGCGGACCCUGGUCGGGCUCCUGACCAGCAACCAGGCCCUGCUGCAGCUUGAGGCGGCUCGGUGCCUGCAUGAGCUCUCUCACUCCGAGCAGUCCACCGUUGCUGAGGCCUGCCUGCCAGCCACUUCCUACCUCCUCACCUACCUCUCCGGUCACAGCUCAGACUUCAUAGAGCUGUGUCUGUAUACACUGGGUAACCUGAUCGUGGAGAGUGAGGCUGUGAGAAGGCAGCUCCUGCCACAGGGCAUUGUUCCAGCCUUGGCUGCCUGC